rnacentral:rRNA from 1 species
AAUUGGAGAGUUUGAUCCUGGCUCAGGACGAACGCUGGCGGCGUGCCUAAUACAUGCAAGUCGAGCGGAGUUGUUUUGAAAGCUUGCUUUCAAAACAACUUAGCGGCGGACGGGUGAGUAACACGUAGGCAACCUGCCCUUCAGACUGGGAUAACUACCGGAAACGGUAGCUAAUACCGGAUAAUUUCUUUUUUCUCCUGAGAGAAGAAUGAAAGACGGAGCA